rnacentral:rRNA from 1 species
UGAGGAAUAUUGGUCAAUGGGCGAGAGCCUGAACCAGCCAAGUAGCGUGCAGGAUGACGGCCCUAUGGGUUGUAAACUGGUUUUGGAUGGGGAAAAGUGAGGGACGUGUCCCUUUUUUUGGCAGGUCCAUAAAAAAAAGGACCGGCUAAUUCCGUGCCAGCAGCCGCGGUAAUACGGAAGGUUCGGGCGUUAUCCGGAUUUAUUGGGUUUAAAGGGAGCGUAGGCCGGAGAUUAAGUGUGUUGUGAAAUGUAGACGCUCAACGUCUGACUUGCAGCGCAUACUGGUUUCCUUGAGUACGCACAACGUUGGCGGAAUUCGUCGUGUAGCGGUGAAAUGCUUAGAUAUGACGAAGAACUCCGAUUGCGAAGGCAGCUGACGGGAGCGCCACUGACGCUUAAGCUCGAAGGUGCGGGUAUCAAACAGGAUUAGAUACCCUGGUAGUCCGCACAGUAAACGAUGGAUGCCCGCUGUUGGUACCUGGUAUCAGCGGCUAAGCGAAAGCAUUAAGCAUCCCACCUGGGGAGUACGCCGGCAACGGU